rnacentral:lncRNA from 1 species
GAAUAAUUGGUGAAUAAUAAUUUAAAAACUAAAAAACUUUGAGAUAAAAAAAUACAUUAAUAUAAAUACAUUAACUUAUGUACAAAAAUUAGUAAAAUCUUCUUGUGCUAUAUUUCCCAAUUUUUGUCUUCCCCUCCAUCUAACAAUCAGGUUGUCAAAACAGAAAGCACCCACCCCAAAAAUAAAAGCAACCAAAAACAAAGGAAAAAACCUAAAUAGUUGUUUCCUUCAAGAUGGUAAAGCAUAAACACUAAACUAAUUAUAUCUUUAAACAUCUAAUACACUUAAUGUGCACUAUACCUGCAAAUUUCACACAUCUUUUCAUCAUUUUUCAUUUCUGUUCCUACCACUUUAACACUUGCCUGGAGUGAGUCUGAGGUUUCUGCUCUGGCCACCCAUUACUAGAGCUGUGCUGCCUAUGGCCUCUCUCACUGACUCACCUGUGACUCCUGAAAUUCGUUACAGCUGGGCAGGGGCUGGGGUAAGGGAAAGUAGUUUGGCAGUAAUUAAUGUUCUCAGUGUGUUUCUCAUUCUAUCUUGUACAUUGAAUUAGGAACAGAUACAGUUUUUUUUCCUGGCCUGGUGGUAGGAAUGUCUACAGUUCUGAUCUUACAAGUAAAUAAGUAAUUAAAAUAAAAUUUUCUUUCUUUUGAAGCUGUAAGUUUUCUUUCAUGUGUAAGUAGAAUCUGGUAUUUAACUCUGUUUUUUAACUUAAUUUGUUCAGCAGAGCUGAUUCGAGACCUUCCAACCAAGCAGGCAAAUCUGAUUUUUUCUGUUAUAAAGAUUAGGUGUUGGGUGCUGUCUGCUACAGCAACUAAAGAAGAAGAUGGAGCCAAAUGAGAGGAAUGUGAAUUGUGUCUAGACUAAUGGAUUUUGUUCUUCCUGUUGGGAUUUUGAGUGUCUCCAGUGUAUGUGUGUGCACGUGCUUGAUUUCCACUCCUGAUGCUGCUGUCACUUCCCAGUCAGUCUGGCUGAUAAAAGGAAUACUUCCAGUUUCCUUCCACCAGCUGAGUCCCAAAAUAAUAAGACAAGGCAGUGGGUGCACUGAAGGUAAGUAUUUAUUCCAAUGCACUCUUACACUUGUAGGCACCAAAAAUGGACUAGCCAGUCAUGUAAAGGAUAUUGCUUCUUAGAACCUAGCAAAUUUACUCUACAGGUGAAAAGAAGUGAAAAUACAGUUAAAUAAGAUGUGAUAAAGUCAAAGUUCUUGUUUUUUAGAUCUUUGUGUUCUUCCUUGGUGUUAUCAGGUCAGGAUCUUCUUUCUGUAAUGCCACUCCUUCCUCUGCUACACCCAUCAGUCACUCUUUAUAGGCUUUUAAGUGUUGUGUGCAAUGAAUUUCUUCAAUCCAGUCCCAGUCUUUAUUACAUUUGCCACAAAAUGCUGACCUUUGCUUUGCAUUCCCUUCUACAUGUCUUCAAACUGCC